rnacentral:tRNA from 1 species
GGCCUAAUAGUGUAGUGGUUAACAUACCUCUUUCGGGUAGUCCCCCUCCCUUUGCGAGGAAUUAGAGGUGAUCCCUGGUUCGAAUCCUGGUUAGCCCG